CCUACGGGUGGCAGCAGUGGGGAAUAUUGCACAAUGGGGGCAACCCUGAUGCAGUGACGCCGCGUGAGGGAAGAAGUAGUUCGGUAUGUAAAGCUCUAUCAGCAGGGAAGAAGCAAGACGGUACCUGACUAGGAAGCGCCGGCUAACUACGUGCCAGCAGCCGCGGUAAUACGUAGGGGGCAAGCGUUAUCCGGAUUUAUUGGGUGUAAAGGGGGUGUAGACGGGAUGGCAAGUCUGAGGUGAAAGCCCAGGGCUUAACCCUGGGAAUGGUUUUGAAAAUGGUAGUCUAGAGUGCUGGAGAGGUAAGUGGAAUUCCUAGUGUAGCGGUGAAAUGCGUAGAUAUAAGGAGGAACACCAGUGGCGAAGGCGGCUUACUGGACAGUAACUGACGUUGAGGCUCGAAAGCGUGGGGAGCAAACAGGAUUAGAUACCCCGGUAGUC
rnacentral:rRNA from 1 species